AUAUCAAUAAGCGGAGGAAAAGAAACCAACAGGGAUUGCCUCAGUAACGGCGAGUGAAGCGGCAACAGCUCAAAUUUGAAAUCUGGCCCCUGCGGCCCGAAUUGUAAUUUGUAGAAGGUGCUUCGGGUGCGACCCCGGUCCAAGUCCCUUGGAACAGGGUGUCCUAGAGGGUGAGAAUCCCGUACGCGGCCGAUGGUCAGGCCCAUGUGAAGCCCUUUCGACGAGUCGAGUUGUUUGGGAAUGCAGCUCUAAAUGGGUGGUAAAUUUCAUCUAAAGCUAAAUACCUGUCGAAGACCGAUAGCGCACAAGUAGAGUGAUCGAAAGAUGAAAAGCACUUUGAAAAGAGAGUCAAACAGUACGUGAAAUUGUUGAAAGGGAAGCGCUUGCAACCAGACUCGCUCGCGGGUGUUCAGCCGUCCCCAGGGACGGUGCAUUCUCCCGCGGCCGGGCCAGCAUCGGUUCAGGCGGUCGGAUAAAGGUUCCGGGAAUGUAGCUCUCUUCGGGGAGUGUUAUCAGCCCGGGGCGCAAUGCGGCCAGCCUGGACCGAGGACCGCGCAUUCGCUAGGAUGCUGGCGUAAUGGUUGCCAGCGACCCGUCUUGAAACACGGACCAAGGAGUCGACCAACCGCGCGAGUGUUUGGGUGUUAAACCCCCGACGCGCAAUGAAAGUAAACGGAGGUGGGAGCCUUCGGGCGCACCAUCGACCGAUCCUGAUAUCUUUGGAUGGAUUUGAGUACGAGCCCGGCUGGUCGGACCCGAAAGGCAAGAACUAUCCAAUUUUUUCCCAACUGGGCACCCUCGCUAACUUCUUAACAGAUGGUGAACUAUGCGUGAAUAGGGUGAAGCCAGAGGAAACUCUGGUGGAGGCUCGCAGCGGUUCUGACGUGCAAAUCGAUCGUCAAAUUUGCGCAUAGGGGCGAAAGACCAAUCGAACUAUCUAGUAGCUGGUUCCCGUCGAAGUUUC
rnacentral:rRNA from 1 species